GCCCGCAGGCUGCAGGUCAUGCAGCAGUCAGCUGAUGGGGGUGAAAAUCCCUGGGGACAGACCAUCAGAAGGGCAGAAAGAAGGAGGCCGAGUUGUGGGAACCAGGCCAGCACUUUUGGUUUCUCUUCUUGUUGAAGGGGUUGAGGCUGGUUUCUUGAAACCAACCAGGAAGAAGACUGGAAAACGGGCCUGUCCCGACACCCAGCUCAGGAGGACGACGCCUUCCGGAAGCCCACGGCACCUACGCGGCCAGGGCCGGGGAAGCGGCUCAUAUCACCAGCGGGCAAGGAGAGAAAUGAGAGCCCGGACUGCCCGGCUGGAAAGGUCAGGGUUGCCUGGCGCGGCUGGCGGCGCGGGCGGGAAGCCGCGCUUACGCACGCCGAGGAUGCGCCCCCGCGCGGAGACGGGGCGCGUCCGGGACCCACGACCCUGAGCUGCGAAUGGGCCCUUGGGAACGUCUGAACACGUUCCUGGUCCAGAGCCGGGAAUAUCGGUCAGCAGACCAUGUCACCGGAAACAUUUUCACAAGUGCUGGCUCAGCGUCUCAAGCAAAUCACCGGGUUGUGGAGAGGCAGUGCCCUGACUUGAAGAAGAGGUAAAAGGUUCACGAAAACCUUCCUCAUGUGUUCCACGAAGCAGCCGCCUGUCAUGGCUUCUCUCUCGGUGAACUCUGGUGUGAAUGGUGCUUGCAAAACAGGGACGGAGGGCAGAACACUGGUGGCAACGCCAGGCGGUGUGGGUGUCCCGCUGGCUCCCACCUGGGACUUUCCUCCCCCCACCUCCCCACAAAGAGAGGAGGGGGUCGCCUACUGCCCAGAGCCCAAUCUUGCCUUCCACCUUUUGUAAGAGGCUGCUGAGGGACAUGGGAACCAGUGUCCCAACAAAUUGCUUCCCCUCAGUGAGAGGCCACAGGGUACAAAAGGAAACUUCUUGCAUGGGGCUGUGAUUUCCUGAGGACACUACCUACUAGAUGCACCCAGUGGUUCAAAAGGAAUUAUGGAUUUACAGUU